AUAACACUUUAGUAUUUUAAAACAAAGUCUAUCUUUUUUGAUUAUAUUUGAUUUGAUUAUUAUAUAAUAUUUUUAUUUGAAAUGAUAAAAUAUACUGCUUCGCGUUCGAAAAUGGGUUAACCAACGUGCAAAGUUUGAUUUUUGACUAACUUCGCCGCGUUGCAACUCGAUUUUCAAUAGUGCGCAUAAUGCACACGGUGAAGGGCAUAGAUGCGCACUACAGCGAAGUGACUCGCGACGCGGCAGGUUGGUCAAAAAUCGAACUUCGCACGUUAGUUCAUCCAUUUUUAGUCGCGAAGCAGUAUAUUUUUAUUGGCCCUCUCCAUUUUUUUCUUAUAUUUUGAAAUAAAAAAACGCGGUUACGGCUUUGAAAGGCUUAAUUUAUGAAAAACAGCUAAUUAGAAUCAGAAUUCUAGAAAAAAUGGUUAUAAAUUACCAAGAAUAGUUUUGAUCGUUGAUUCUGAUGUUCCCAAACGAUUGAUUGAACUUUUUCUGAUAAAAUUUUCUUCACAUCGAAUGCUUCAAUAAAUAUUUUCGCGUCGGCUUUUUUUACUUUGACAUGGUUUCGAGCAAAAAACAAAAAUGGCGAGUCACUUUACACACCAACAAUGGAAAUAAUUGAAACAAACAAACCUUCCAUUUGAAAUGCAAUUUGUUUUUGUUGUUUUAAAAAUAUAUCGGGUUAAAAAUGCUCUACGUAAAUUCAACAAUAUUUCUGUUUUGUUUUGAUAAAAAUGAUUGUUCACACUUAGUUUUUUUCUCGUUGUUCGGUAAUUUUUUUUACCGGAAACGUACUGUAAAAAAAUAUUUAACUGAAGUUUCGGUAUUACAAACGAGAUUUACCGAACAUCCUUGAAUAUAUUAGAAAAUCAAAACAAUAUUCGUCCACUUUUACCGGAAUCGUCGUUUUAUUUACCGAAAAAACUGUAAAUCGUUUAGAUUCACCGUAGACUGUAAUUUUUUAUCGUACUUCAGUUCAUAGUGCCACAACGCUUUACCGAACAAAUUGUGAUUUGAUAUUUUUGAGGCUGCCAUAUUUGUUUUGAUGUGCUAGUCAACAUGAUAGUAUCGCAUCCAAUACCAUUUGAUAUUCUGUGUUGUGGUCAUGGACACUGUUUUUUGAAAAAAGUAAAACUACAACAGCAGGAUGAGCGCCUGGAACUACUUUUCCCAUUCAACAGCCCACUUACGGUUCCGGAUAAGAUCGUCACAUUAACGGGCAUAAGCACCCAUGACGGAAUCGGUGGCGCUUUUGUGCAAAAGCACGCGUUCGAGUUGUUGGUGAUGCCGCUGGUGGUUUCCCAUCUUCAUAAGCAGACAAGCAGUUCAUCUUCAUACGGAUUUAAAACGAAAACGCGAAAUAAAUCGAUGCACAUUUGCUAUCAAUAUGAAAUUUA